CGCAGACGAACGCUGGCGGCGUGCUUAACACAUGCAAGUCGAACGAUGAAGCCCUUCGGGGUGGAUUAGUGGCGAACGGGUGAGUAACACGUGGGCAAUCUGCCCUUCACUCUGGGACAAGCCCUGGAAACGGGGUCUAAUACCGGAUAACACUCUGUCCCGCAUGGGACGGGGUUGAAAGCUCCGGCGGUGAAGGAUGAGCCCGCGGCCUAUCAGCUUGUUGGUGGGGUGAUGGCCUACCAAGGCGACGACGGGUAGCCGGCCUGAGAGGGCGACCGGCCACACUGGGACUGAGACACGGCCCAGACUCCUACGGGAGGCAGCAGUGGGGAAUAUUGCACAAUGGGCGAAAGCCUGAUGCAGCGACGCCGCGUGAGGGAUGACGGCCUUCGGGUUGUAAACCUCUUUCAGCAGGGAAGAAGCGAAAGUGACGGUACCUGCAGAAGAAGCGCCGGCUAACUACGUGCCAGCAGCCGCGGUAAUACGUAGGGCGCAAGCGUUGUCCGGAAUUAUUGGGCGUAAAGAGCUCGUAGGCGGCUUGUUGCGUCGGUUGUGAAAGCCCGGGGCUUAACCCCGGGUCUGCAGUCGAUACGGGCAGGCUAGAGUGUGGUAGGGGAGAUCGGAAUUCCUGGUGUAGCGGUGAAAUGCGCAGAUAUCAGGAGGAACACCGGUGGCGAAGGCGGAUCUCUGGGCCAUUACUGACGCUGAGGAGCGAAAGCGUGGGGAGCGAACAGGAUUAGAUACCCUGGUAGUCCACGCCGUAAACGUUGGGAACUAGGUGUUGGCGACAUUCCACGUCGUCGGUGCCGCAGCUAACGCAUUAAGUCCCCGCA
rnacentral:rRNA from 1 species